UAGCCAUUCUGGAAUCAUAUUGUU
rnacentral:miRNA from 1 species